AUUUGACGUUAGCUGCAGAAGAAGCACCGGCUAACUCCGUGCCAGCAGCCGCGGUAAUACGGAGGGUGCGAGCGUUAAUCGGAAUUACUGGGCGUAAAGCGCAUGCAGGUGGAUGAUUAAGUCAGAUGUGAAAGCCCGGGGCUCAACCUCGGAAUAGCAUUUGAAACUGGUCAUCUAGAGUACUGUAGAGGGGGGUAGAAUUUCAGGUGUAGCGGUGAAAUGCGUAGAGAUCUGAAGGAAUACCGGUGGCGAAGGCGGCCCCCUGGACAGAUACUGACACUCAGAUGCGAAAGCGUGGGGAGCAAACAGGAUUAGAUACCCUGGUAGUCCACGCCGUAAACGAUGUCUACUUGGAGGUUGUGGCCUUGAGCCGUGGCUUUCGGAGCUAACGCGUUAAGUAGACCGCCUGGGGAGUACGGUCGCAAGAUUAAAACUCAAAUGAAUUGACGGGGGCCCGCACAAGCGGUGGAGCAUGUGGUUUAAUUCGAUGCAACGCGAAGAACCUUACCUACUCUUGACAUCCAUAGAACUUUCCAGAGAUGGAUUGGUGCCUUCGGGAACUAUGAGACAGGUGCUGCAUGGCUGUCGUCAGCUCGUGUUGUGAAAUGUUGGGUUAAGUCCCGCAACGAGCGCAACCCUUAUCCUUGUUUGCCAGCACUUCGGGUGGGAACUCCAGGGAGACUGCCGGUGAUAAACCGGAGGAAGGUGGGGACGACGUCAAGUCAUCAUGGCCCUUACGAGUAGGGCUACACACGUGCUACAAUGGCGCAUACAGAGGGCGGCCAACUUGCGAAAGUGAGCGAAUCCCAAAAAGUGCGUCGUAGUCCGGAUUGGAGUCUGCAACUCGACUCCAUGAAGUCGGAAUCGCUAGUAAUCGUGGAUCAGAAUGCCACGGUGAAUACGUUCCCGGGCCUUGUACACACCGCCCGUCACACCAUGGGAGUGGGCUGCAAAAGAAGUGGGUAGUUUAACCUUCGGGGGGACGCUCA
rnacentral:rRNA from 1 species